AUUGAACACUGGCGGCAGGCCUAACACAUGCAAGUCGAGCGAGCGGCGGACGGGUGAGUAAUGUAUGGGGACUGCCCGAUAGAUGGGGAUAACUACUGGAAAAGGCAGCUAAACCCGCAUUCAAUCGGAUAACCCAUAUGGGAUUAGCUAGUAGGUGAGGUAAUGGCUCACCUGGGCGACGAUCCCUAGCUGUUCUGAGAGGAUGAUCAGCCAAAUUGGGAAGGAGACACGGCGCAGACUCCUACGGAGGAAGCAGUGGGUAAUAUUGCACAAUGGGCGCAAGCCUGAUGCAGCCAUGCCGCGUGUAUGAAGAAGGCCCUAGUGUUGUAAAGUACUGUCAGUCGGGAGGCGUUACCGACAGAAGAAGCACCGGCUAACUCCGUGCCAGCCGCCGCGGUAAUUC
rnacentral:rRNA from 1 species